rnacentral:rRNA from 1 species
UGGUGGAGUGAUUUGUCUGGUUGAUUCCGUUAACGAACGAGAUCUCGACCCUUAAAUAGGUAUGCUCGUCGCUCGGUCGGGCUCCCUUGAUUCGUCUUGUGGACUCGACUAGACAGGGCAACAACUUCUUAAGGGGACUGCGUGCGCCGCUAGCACGCGGAAGAGCGAGCCAAUAGCA